AGUUUAAGUAAUGCUCCUAUGAGAAACAAAUAAUACCGGACAUCUGGUCACCGAGAAAAAUGGUUGGCCUGAGUUUUUAGUUUAGUUUUUUAUUUUGAAAAGUCAGAGCACGGGGUAGUGGCUUUCCAAACCAUCCUGCAGCCAUACCCGUCUCUUUUCUGGAUCAGCAAGAUGGCUACCAUUGCACUGCGCCACCAGCAGCGAUAAAUGGAGGCAGCUCUUAGGAGGAGAGGCCUCAGCUCCAGGUUUGGAUGCAGCUUCCCAGAAUCUCCCAGUGAUCAUCUUCCUCCUCCUGACAUCGUCUUCUUAAUUGUCUCCUCAUCUUUUUUAAACAUAAAUUAUAGGAAUAUUUUUUCAUGAUUCCCCAAACAUUGGCUGAUUAUCUGCUUGUAUGUUAUUGUAAUAAAUACAUUUUUAUGAAAACAUUUUGUCUCUGUUUAUUUUGUAAGAUUUGAGUUUAAAGCUCUGACUACAUAUAGAUUGAUACAAAUUAAAUAUGAAAUAAUUGUUUUAAU